rfam:Caenorhabditis remanei strain PB4641 contig48.5, whole genome shotgun sequence.
GGUCCUAUGGUGUAGUGGUUAUCACGUCUGCUUUACACGCAGAAGAUCGCCGGUUCGAUCCCGGCUAGGACCU